rnacentral:misc_RNA from 1 species
AACGCACCUUGCGCUCCUAGGUCUUCCGAGGAGCAUGCCUGUUUGAGUGUCCAGACUUUCAUCAAGCCCACCUCGCUGCAAAGUGGAGGUGUGGAUUGGAGUUGGAGGGCCUGCUGUUGGCAUAUGUCACAGCUCCUCUGAAAUGCAAUAGCUGAUGCUGCCGCUAGCGACUCUGAAGGUUGGCUUGAUAUUCAAGUCUCGCCGCCGUGAGUUCAGUCGGCCUUUUGCUUUGCCCUCCCCAGGGCAGAAACACCCCUUUUAAGAUCGGACCUCAAAUCAGGUAGGACUACCCGCUGAACUUAA